UCAAACAAGUUUUACUUUAGGAGGAAAAAUCUGACAGCUUUUCAGUGGUGCUGAUAUCUGGAAGAGCCUCUACAAAUCUCAAGACCUUUGAAAAGCCAGCUUAAUCUUCAACGAUACAACAUCACACAGGAGGAUUCCUCCAGAUACCAAAUAGGUUCUGAAAGACACAGGGAUCCAGCCUUCUCAAAGAUCUAAACAAACAGUAAGAGAAGCCAAA